rnacentral:rRNA from 1 species
AGAGGCACCGCCUGCCCAGUGACAAUUAAGUUAAACGGCCGCGGUAUCCUGACCGUGCAAAGGUAGCAUAAUCAUUUGUUCCUUAAUUAGGGACUUGUAUGAAUGGCAUCACGAGGGUUUAACUGUCUCUUACAUUUAAUCAAUGAAAUUGACCUUUCCGUGAAGAGGCGGAAAUUACAAAAUAAGACGAGAAGACCCUAUGGAGCUUAAAUUAAUACUCUCAGUUCUUGCACUACACACAAACUCUACUAGACAUAACUAAAUAAGAAUAAUUGAGGUAAAAAUUUUGGUUGGGGUGACCUCGGAGCACAAAACAACCUCCGAAAGACUACUAUAAAGACCUACUAGUCGAUAUUACCCAAGUCUAAACAUUGACCCAGAAUUAAUCUGACCAAUGGACCAAGUUACCCUAGGGAUAACAGCGCAAUCCUAUUAAAGAGUCCAUAUCGAUAAUUAGGGUUUACGACCUCGAUGUUGGAUCAGGACAUCCCAAUGGUGCAGCAGCUAUUAAAGGUUCGUUUGUUCAACGAUUAAAGUCCUACGUGAUC